rnacentral:rRNA from 1 species
AUUGAACGCUGGCGGCAUGCCUUACACAUGCAAGUCGAACGGCAGCAUGAUCUAGCUUGCUCGAUUGAUGGCGAGUGGCGAACGGGUGAGUAAUACAUCGGAACGUGCCCUGUAGUGGGGGAUAACUAGUCGAAAGAUUAGCUAAUACCGCAUACGACCUGAGGGUGAAAGUGGGGGACCGCAAGGCCUCAUGCUAUAGGAGCGGCCGAUGUCUGAUUAGCUAGUUGGUGAGGUAAAGGCUCACCAAGGCGACGAUCAGUAGCUGGUCUGAGAGGACGAUCAGCCACACUGGGACUGAGACACGGCCCAGACUCCUACGGGAGGCAGCAGUGGGGAAUUUUGGACAAUGGGCGAAAGCCUGAUCCAGCAAUGCCGCGUGUGUGAAGAAGGCCUUCGGGUUGUAAAGCACUUUUGUCCGGUAAGAAAUGGCUCUGGUUAAUACCUGGGGUCGAUGACGGUACCGGAAGAAUAAGGACCGGCUAACUACGUG